rnacentral:rRNA from 1 species
CCCUUAGAUGUUCUGGGCUGCACGCGUGCUACACUGAUUACUUCAACAAGUGUUUUAACUGGAGAGUUCGCGUAAUCCUGAAAUGUUAUCGUGAUGGGAGUAGAGUAUUGUAUUUGUUAAUCUUUAACGAGGAAUUCCUAGUAAGUGUAGGUUUAUAAGUUGUUCUGAUUACGUCCCUGUCCUUUGUACACACCGCCCGUCGCUCCUACCGAUUGAUUGAUCCGGUGAAUUACAUAGAAUUUUGCGUUUUACAUGACGGAAGAUGAAGUGUUUUAAACCUUAUCAUUUAGAGGAAGGAGAAGUCGUAACA